rnacentral:rRNA from 1 species
UACGGGAGGCAGCAGUGGGGAAUUUUGGACAAUGGGGGAAAGCCUGAUCCAGCAAUGCCGCGUGUGUGAAGAAGGCCUUCGGGUUGUAAAGCACUUUUGUCCGGAAAGAAAUCGCUCGUGAUAAUACCGGGGGUGGAUGACGGUACCGGAAGAAUAAGGACCGGCUAACUACGUGCCAGCAGCCGCGGUAAUACGUAGGGUCCAAGCGUUAAUCGGAAUUACUGGGCGUAAAGCGUGCGCAGGCGGUUGUGCAAGACCGAUGUGAAAUCCCCGGGCUUAACCUGGGAAUUGCAUUGGUGACUGCACGGCUAGAGUGUGUCAGAGGGGGGUAGAAUUCCACGUGUAGCAGUGAAAUGCGUAGAGAUGUGGAGGAAUACCGAUGGCGAAGGCAGCCCCCUGGGAUAACACUGACGCUCAUGCACGAAAGCGUGGGGAGCAAACAGGAUUAGAUACCCUGGUAGUCCACGCCCUAAACGAUGUCAACUAGUUGUUGGGGAUUCAUUUCCUUAGUAACGUAGCUAACGCGUGAAGU